CUGGGCUAGAAUGCUUCUGACAACCCUAGAGAUAGGACCUUCUGGGUAAAACCAGACAGAGUGCAAGGUGCUGCAUGGCUGUCGUCAGCUCGUGUCGUGAGAUGUUGGGUUAAGUCCCGCAACGAGCGCAACCCUUAUCUUUAGUUGCCAUCAUUUAGUUGGGCACUCUAGAGAGACUGCCAUUGACAAAACGGAGGAAGGUGGGGAUGACGUCAAGUCCUCAUGGCCUUUAUGUCCAGGGCUACACACGUGCUACAAUGGCAGGUACAAACCGCCGCAAACUCGCAAGAGGGAGCCAAUCGGAAAAAGCCUGUCUCAGUUCGGAUUGGAGUCUGCAACUCGACUCCAUGAAGUUGGAAUCGCUAGUAAUCGCGGAUCAGCACGCCGCGGUGAAUACGUUCCC
rnacentral:rRNA from 1 species